GCCAGGUGUGGUGGCCUGCACCUGUAGUCCCAGCUACUUGGGAGGCUGAGACGGGAGGAUGGCUUGAGCCCAGGAGGUGGAGGUUGCAGUGAGCCAAGGUCAUGCCACUGCACUUCCAGCCUGGGCAACAAAGCCAGACUCUGUCUCAA
rfam:Gorilla gorilla gorilla genomic chromosome, chr4, whole genome shotgun sequence